rnacentral:tRNA from 1 species
CUUCCUGUGGCGUAGUGGGCAAGGUCCCAGUCUUGGGAACAUGGGGUCUGAGGUUCAAACCCAGCUAGGAACA